AGAUACGUAUUUCUCUAAGCUCAAAAUUCUAUCUCAAAACUCUGUUAAAAUUUUUGUUCGAGCACUCCAUUCUUGUUGAGGCAGAGAACUGACUUGAGCAUCGGAGGGUCUUGCCGGAGCAACCCCACCUCCGGUUUAGACUUCUUUUGUAGGUUCCGACGGAGACCGCGACUCCCUUGACUCCAUCUUCUCCGGUGCGGGUGAAUUUUUGCACCAACAGGAUUGGUGCUAGAAGGAGGGCCGUGUCUUCGCAGUACCCUUGUUCUUAAAGGAGCACUCAACGAGACCACCUCCGGUCAUUUUUUUCGACAUCCACUCCUCCUUCCCCCACUAGAUCUUCGCCCGAUGCCUUCUCGCGAAGCAUCCACACGGCGACCCACGGCCUCCGCGGCCAGAUCUCAGCCUCCUACCUCGCCUCCAGUUUUCCAGGCCCCACAUCCUCCAGCAACAGUCGCCGGCAUGGAGCGGUCGGACAAUCGGCCUCCGAUGGAUUUCGCCAACACCAUCUCGGAAGAAUCCCGGUGGGGAGCGACCGGCGUAUUUACCGGACCUCCCAAGUGGUAAAAGAUCGAGGAAUCCAUAACUUUCAUCGAAGAAGAUGCUC
rnacentral:lncRNA from 1 species